rnacentral:lncRNA from 1 species
AGAAGUCCAGAACAAGUGCGAAUCCAACAAACCGAUAUCCUACAUUGCAUAUACCAGAUAUAUUGGGCUAGUCUCAUAUCCAAUAGUGGCAUGCCUACGCAAUCCGCAAUCAGGGCAUGAGAAACAAGUCAUCACGGCCCAACCCGAGCUCGCUCGUUCUUGUCAACCUAAUCCAACUUUCAAUUUUGUUCAAAAGUUGAAAGAAUCCUCUCACAGGCCAAAAAUCCAAUCGGGGCAUUAGUGUUGACUCGACAACCUUUAAACUCUCCAGAGCAGUUCGACCCGGAAUACUCAGAGUGUCAAAAAAAGGGACCAACACAACUCCAUGUUGUGGGAGCCGGGCUGCCUUUAUUCUGUUCUUUUGCUUUUAACUUUGAUCUCUUUGGGCCUCCUUAUCCUAGAGGCCUUUUCUUGUAGUUGUUGGCUCUGUAUAAAAAAAAAAAAAAAAUUAUAGUAGGCAUGGUUACUUCGGUUUGGUAGAUGACCUAACCUGUUAAUCAAAUCGAACUUUUGGUAGGCCAAAAUAUCUUCCGUUAACUAUUUAUCGUGGGCCUUUAACCGAUCGUGACGAUUUGGUAGGAUACUUUUAUGGUUAAAAAUAAACCUACUAAGUAAGUAGUAAAAAUACAAUUAAUGUUCAUUUCACAUAAUUAUUGACGAUCUUGAGCAAGGGCAGGAAGUGCACCCAUCCUGGGCCCCACAUUAAGGACAUCCCCCAAAUUCUAUUUUCCUUAUGAGGCUAUACUCCAGAGUUGUAAAUAAUAAAGCUGCAAAAAUUUUACAAUAAAUUCUUUGUAGUAGGAUUGGUAUGUGACUUUGUUCGAUCUUUAAAGAGCCAGCGUUCGAGCCCAAGAUUUACCUUUUAUUUGUUGUCGCCCUAGGCCUUGAAAAAUUGAGAGUCGACUCUGC